AUCUUUUGAUAAAGGAGAGAAGGUUAGUACUUCCCUUGAUAAGGAUGGAAGAAUUCCUAGCAACCUAUACAGCUCGCAUAUGGUUAAAGCACUGCUACUUUGUGGCAUCUAAUGAUGUUAU